GUGAUGCUGUUACUGGUGAUACUGGUGCUGGUGGAUGCUGUUACUGGUGAUACUGGGACUGGUGGAGGCUGUUACUGGGAAUUACUGGUCUGUGGUGAUGCUGUAACUGGUGCGUACUGGUGCCAGUGGAUGCUGUUACGGGGGGAUACUGGAACAAGGAGAUGCUGUUACUGGUGAUACUGGUGCCAGUGGAUGCUGUUACUGGUGAUACUGGUGUGGUGACACUUACUGGGCGUUACUGGUGUGUGCUGAGACUCUUGCUGGGGAUACUGGUGCUGGGAAGGCUGUAACUGGGAAUACUGGUAUCGGUGGAUGCCGUUACUGGGGAUACUGGGAUUGGGGGAGGCUGUUACUGGGGAUACUGGGAUGGGGGGAGGCUGUUACUGGGGAUACUGGGACUGUGGGUGGUUGUUACUGGGGGAUACCGGUUUGUGCUGAUGCCGUUACUGGGCAUACUGGUACCGUUGGAUGCUGUAACUGGGAGUUACUGGGACCAGUGCAUGCUGUUACUGGGGGUUACUGGGACACGGGCACGGUGUUACUGGGAGUUACUGGUACUGGUGGAUGCUGUUACUGGAGUUACUGGUAUCAGUGCAUGCUGUUACUGGGGAUACUGGGAGCAGAGGAUGCUGUUACUGGGAGUUACUGGGACCAGGGCACGCUGUUACUGGUGCUGAUGGAUGCUGUAACUGGGAGUUACUGGAAUCCGUGCAUGCUGUAGCUGGGUGUUACUGGGAGUCACUGGGAGUUACUGGGAGUCACUGGGAGUUACUGGGAGUUACUGGGAGUCACUGAGAGUUACUGGGAGUCACUGGGAGUCACUGGGAGUUACUGGGAGUUACUGGGAGUUACUGGGAGCACUGGGAGCACUGGGAGUUACUGGGAGUCACUGGGAGUUACUGGGAGUUACUGGGAGUUACUGGGAGCACUGGGAGCACUGGGAGUUACUGGGAGUCACUGGGAGUUACUGGGAGUUACUGGGAGUUACUGGGAGCACUGGGAGCACUGGGAGUUACUGGGAGUCACUGGGAGUUACUGGGAGUUACUGGGAGUUACUGGGAGCACUGGGAGCACUGGGAGUUACUGGGAGUCACUGGGAGUUACUGGGAGCACUGGGAGUUACUGGGAGUCACUGGGAGUUACUGGGAGUUACUGGGAGUUACUGGUGUGUGCUGGUGCCGGGACACCAGGUCUACCCAUUCCGUUGGUCCUGGGGGGGUUUUUGGGGGUCCUGGGGGGUUUUUGGGGGUCCCCCCCCCCCCCCCCCCCCCCCCCCCCCCCCCCCCCCCCCCCCCCCCCCCCCCCCCCCCCCCCCCCCCCCCCCCCCCCCCCCCCCCCCC
rnacentral:lncRNA from 12 species